rnacentral:rRNA from 1 species
UACGGAGGGUGCAAGCGUUAAUCGGAAUUACUGGGCGUAAAGCGCACGCAGGUGGCUGAGUCAGUCGAUUGUGAAAGCCCUGGGCUUAACCUGGGAAUUGCAGUCGAUACUACUCGGCUCGAGUAUGGGAGAGGGCAGUGGAAUUCCCGGUGUAGCGGUGAAAUGCGUAGAUAUCGGGCGGAACAUCAGUGGCGAAGGCGGCUGCCUGGCCCAAUACUGACACUCAGGUGCGACAGCGUGUGGAGCAAACAGG